GAUCGUGACCUGAGUCGAAGCCAGAUGCUUAACAGACUGGAGCCAUCCAGAGGACAUGCAGUUUAUGAAAAUCCUUUGGUUAUCCUAUCAUAUAAAGAAUUGGUAAUACCAGCAAAUAAUACAACAGAACACCAAGGGACAACAAAACAGAGGCUGAAAAAGAACUCGACACUGUCCAGUGCGAUACAGUGGUUCUGUGAAGAUAACACCGGCAUUCGUUCCCCUCGGAAAACCCCUCCUGUCUUUUUGUUUGCUUCUGUGUUCCAAAUCCUGGGUCAAAUAAAAGCUAAAGUAUUAAAUAUGA